rnacentral:rRNA from 1 species
AAACAUGUCAAGUUCGAGGGGUAACAGGGUGCUUGCACCGCUGACGACCGGCGCACGGGUGCGUAACGCGUAUACAAUCUACCUUAUAGAGGAGAAUAGCCCAGAGAAAUUUGGAUUAAUGCUCCAUGGUAUUAUCGACUAGCAUUGGUUGAUAAUUAAACAUUUAUGGCUAUAAGAUGAGUAUGCGUUCUAUUAGCUUGAUGGUAAGGUAACGGCUUACCAUGGCAACGAUAGAUAGGGGUCCUGAGAGGGAGAUCCCCCACACUGGUACUGAGACACGGACCACACUCCUACGGGAGGCAGCAGUGAGGAAUAUUGGACAAUGGGAGCAAUCCUGAUCCAGCCAUGCCGCGUGCAGGAAGACUGCCCUAUGGGUUGUAAACUGCUUUUAUACAGGAAGAAAAAGGUGUACGUGUACACUGUUGACGGUACUGUAAGAAUAAGGAUCGGCUAACUCCGUGCCAGCAGCCGCGGUAAUACGGAGGAUCCAAGCGUUAUCCGGAAUCAUUGGGUUUAAAGGGUCCGUAGGCGGGACAAUAAGUCAGUGGUGAAGUCUGCAGCUCAACUGUAGAAUUGCCAUUGAUACUGUUGUUCUUGAGUGCUUGUGAAGUGGUUAGAAUGAGUAGUGUAGCGGUGAAAUGCAUAGAUAUUACUCAGAAUACCGAUUGCGAAGGCAGAUCACUAACAAUUCACUGACGCUGAUGGACGAAAGCGUAGGUAGCGAACAGGAUUAGAUACCCUGGUAGUCUACGCCGU